AGCAAUUUGGCGCAGUGGAAGCGCGGUACGUUUGCCCAUGGAUACUCCGCAAAUUGCAUUUUAACUAACUCCUCCAAGCCGGGCUCAUAACCCGGAGGUCGCACGAUCGAAACGUGCAAUUGCUA